CCUACGGGUGGCAGCAGUGGGGAAUAUUGGGCAAUGGGCGCAAGCCUGACCCAGCAACGCCGCGUGAAGGAAGAAGGCUUUCGGGUUGUAAACUUCUUUUGACAGGGACGAGUCGAAUACGGUUCCUGUCGGAUUAGCCACGGCUAAAGACGUGCCAGCAGCCGCGGUAAUACGUAGGUGGCAAGCGUUGUCCGGAUUUACUGGGUGUAAAGGGCGUGUAGCCGGGUUGACAAGUCAGAUGUGAAAUCCUGCGGCUUAACCGCAUACCUGCAUUUGAAACUGUUGUUCUUGAGUACUGGAGAGGCAGACGGAAUUCCGAGUGUAGCGGUGAAAUGCGUAGAUAUUAGGAGGAACACCAGUGGCGAAGGCGGACUGCUGGACAGCAACUGACGGUGAGGCGCGAAAGCGUGGGGAGCAAACAGGAUUAGAUACCCCGGUAGUC
rnacentral:rRNA from 1 species